UCCAGACUCCUACGGGAGGCAGCAGUGGGGGAUAUUGCACAAUGGGGGGAACCCUGAUGCAGCGACGCCGCGUGGGUGAAGGAGCGUUUCGGCGCGUAAAGCCCUAUCGGCAGGGAAGAAGGAGGACGGUACCUGACUAAGAAGCCCCGGCUAACUACGUGCCAGCAGCCGCGGUAAUACGUAGGGGGCAAGCGUUAUCCGGAUUUACUGGGUGUAAAGGGGGCGCAGACGGCAGCGCAAGCCAGGAGUGAAAGCCCGGGGCCCAACCCCGGGACUGCUCUUGGAACUGCGCGGCUGGAGUGCAGGAGGGGCAGGCGGAAUUCCUGGUGUAGCGGUGAAAUGCGUAGAUAUCAGGAGGAACACCGAUGGCGAAGGCGGCCUGCUGGACUGCGACUGACGUUGAGGCCCGAAAGCGUGGGGAGCAAACAGGAUUAGAUACCCGGGUAAA
rnacentral:rRNA from 1 species